rnacentral:rRNA from 1 species
UACGUAGGUGGCGAGCGUUGUCCGGAUUUACUGGGCGUAAAGGGAGCGUAGGCGGACUUUUAAGUGAGAUGUGAAGUACCCGGGCUCAACUUGGGUGCUGCAUUUCAAACUGGAAGUCUAGAGUGCAGGAGAGGAGAAUGGAAUUCCUAGUGUAGCGGUGAAAUGCGUAGAGAUUAGGAAGAACACCAGUGGCGAAGGCGAUUCUCUGGACUGUAACUGACGCUGAGGCUCGAAAGCGUGGGGAGCAAACAGGAUUAGAUACCCCCGUAGU